rnacentral:lncRNA from 1 species
CCUACAGCCCCUCCCUCCCCACCUAUGUCAGCGCCGCUAAAUUUAGCUCUUCCAGCAUGUGCACAGUUUAUAUUUAGUGCCUAAAAGUCAGAGUUCAAUGUACAAUUCAUCAAGUCAUCAAUCAUCCCUCUAUCCAAGCGACACAUUAUAGAAAAAUCCUUUCAAAAGACUCGCUUGCUCUCCACAAGGGGUAGAAGCCAUUCUAAGAAGGAAUUCACUGGGCCAGAGGGGUUUUCUCCUCACCGUGGUGUGUGAGGAGUGCCUGAGAAUGCCAAGCCUGGAGUGGGGGGAUUUUGGCAAAUGCUCUGGAAAUUUGCAAGACCAGUGAUUUGUGGACAUCAGAUCUAUAGCCGGUAGCAUUGUCAGCUGACAGCUUGCCAAAGAAGAUAGGAAGUAAUCAGUGCAAACUUUGUGGAAAUUUGAUUAAUAAAAACCGAGAGCAACAUUUAAUCUACAUUCAACAAGAAAGAUCUAAGUAUUAAUAUUUAUAUUGAGAAACAGGUUUGGAAUGUUGAUAACAUAAGUUGAAUAUAAGUUGUUACCAAACAUAAACCUCUUUGGGGGAUUUUGCUUAUUUUCAUUAUCAAAUAAUGGCAAUCAGUUUAGUUUUGCUGGUCAGUGACUAACCCUAAACCUCUCAACCUAGCUGGGAAUAGGAUGUCAA